UACGUAGGGUGCAAGCGUUGUCCGGAAUUACUGGGUGUAAAGGGUGCGCAGGCGGAUCUGUGCGUCAGAGGUUAAAUAUCCCGGCUUAACCGGGAAAGUGCCUUUGAUACGGCAGAUCUUGAAUAUGAGAGAGGAUGAUAGAAUUCCUGGUGUAGCGGUGAAAUGCGUAGAUAUCAGGAGGAAUACCGGUGGCGAAGGCGGUCAUCUGGCUCAUUAUUGACGCUCAGGCACGAAAGCGUGGGGAUCAAACAGG
rnacentral:rRNA from 1 species